AAUGAACGCUAGCGGUAGGCCUAACACAUGCAAGUUGAACGCAUACUUUUACAGUAUAAGUAGCACACGGGUGAGUAACGCGUGAGAAAUCUACCUUACAAUCUGGCAUAAAAUCCCGGAUUCUUUCUAAACUAGAUGUUCCGACAAAUAGUAUAGAAUAAAAGAUUAAAUGUCGUUGUAAGAUGUGCCCGCGUAGGAUUAGGUAGUUGGUGAGGUAACAGCUACACCAAGCCGAAGAUCCUUAGCUGGUCUGAGAGGAUGAUCAGCCACACUGGGACUGAGACACGGCCCAGACGCUUUCGAGCGGCAGCAGUGAGGAAUUUUGGACAAUGGACGAAAGCUGGAUCCAGCCAUAUCGCAUGAGGAAAGAAGGCUCAAUUGGUUGUAAAUCUCUGAUUUGAUUGAAGAUUAUGACAUAAGAUCAAAGAAGAGUCCCGGCUAACUUCGUG
rnacentral:rRNA from 1 species